UGGAUUUAAUAAAUCCUUUAGA
rnacentral:tRNA from 1 species